CCUACGGGUGGCAGCAGUGGGGAAUAUUGCGCAAUGGGCGAAAGCCUGACGCAGCAACGCCGCGUGAGCGAAGAAGGAUUUCGGUUUGUAAACUUCUUUUGUCAGGGACGAAGAUAGUGACGGUACCUGACGAAUACGCCACGGCCAACUACGUACCAGCCGCCGCGGUACUACGUAGGGGGCAAGCGUUAUCCGGAUUUACUGGGUGUAAGGGGCGUGUAGGCGGGGCAGCAAGUCAGAUGUGAAAACCACGGGCCCAACCUGUGGCCUGCAUUUGAAACUGUUUUUCUGGAGUGCUGGAGAGGCAAGCGGAAUUCCGUGUGUAGCGGUGAAAUGCGUAGAUAUACGGAGGAACACCAGUGGCGAAGGCGGAUUGCUGGACAGUAACUGACGUUGAGGCGCGAAAGCGUGGGGAGCAAACAGGAUUAGAUACCCCUGUAGUC
rnacentral:rRNA from 1 species